UACGUAGGGAGCAAGCGUUGUUCGGAUUUACUGGGCGUAAAGGGCGCGUAGGCAGCGCUGUAAGUCACUUGUGAAAUCUCUGAGCUUAACUCAGAACGGCCAAGUGAUACUGCAGUGCUAGAGUGCAGAAGGGGCAAUCGGAAUUCUUGGUGUAGCGGUGAAAUGCGUAGAUAUCAAGAGGAACACCUGAGGUGAAGACGGGUUGCUGGGCUGACACUGACGCUGAGGCGCGAAAGCCAGGGGAGCAAACGGG
rnacentral:rRNA from 1 species